UACGUAGGUGGCAAGCGUUGUCCGGAUUUACUGGGCGUAAAGGGCGCGUAGGCGGCCUGCUAAGUCGAACGUGAAAUCCCCGGGCUCAACCCGGGAACUGCGUCUGAUACUGGAUGGCUUGAGAUUGGGAGAGGGAUGCGGAAUUCCAGGUGUAGCGGUGAAAUGCGUAGAUAUCUGGAGGAACACCGGUGGCGAAGGCGGCAUCCUGGACCAACACUGACGCUGAGGAGCGAAAGCCAGGGGAGCAAACGGG
rnacentral:rRNA from 1 species